AUUGAACGCUGGCGGCAGGCUUAACACAUGCAAGUCGAGCGGAGAUGAGGUGCUUGCACCUUAUCUUAGCGGCGGACGGGUGAGUAAUGCUUAGGAAUCUGCCUAUUAGUGGGGGACAACAUUCCGAAAGGAAUGCUAAUACCGCAUACGCCCUACGGGGGAAAGCAGGGGAUCUUCGGACCUUGCGCUAAUAGAUGAGCCUAAGUCGGAUUAGCUAGUUGGUGGGGUAAAGGCCUACCAAGGCGACGAUCUGUAGCGGGUCUGAGAGGAUGAUCCGCCACACUGGGACUGGAACACGGCCCAGACUCCUACGGGAGGCAGCAGUGGGGAAUAUUGGACAAUGGGCGGAAGCCUGAUCCAGCCAUGCCGCGUGUGUGAAGAAGGCCUUUUGGUUGUAAAGCACUUUAAGCGAGGAGGAGGCUACCUGGAUUAAUACUCUAGGAUAGUGGACGUUACUCGCAGAAUAAGCACCGGCUAACUCUGUGCCAGCCGCCGCCGUAAGAC
rnacentral:rRNA from 1 species